AUAACGACGUCUCUGAGGCGCGAAAUCUGACAGCGAGAGGAACGGCCGGAUACAGGAGACGGGAAGAAACAAGCCGAUUAUGUUCGCGUUAAUUAAGUGGUUGGAAGAUGUAAAAUUCUCAAUUCUGCCAACUGAACAUAUACGAGAUUUUAAUGAGGAUGAAUAAUUAGCCGGCAUGGAGGAAACGGACCUUUAUUUCGUGGAGUGGCGACAAGAAGCCAAGGCGGGUGGCCAGUCUAAGAAGCCUCCAUCAUCAAGCUAGCAGAAAUCCUACCUCUCCUUCUGGCUACAGAGUACUUACCAAGCCCAUGAAAUCGAAUGCAGAUCUUCCUAAUGUGAGAUUUACAUAAAUAUGUCAAAGUCUCAACCUCAUGCUGCCCUCCCCCAUCCUCCUAAACCUGUGGAUACAAAUGCAGAUUUCCUUAAUGUAAGUUGUGCAUUUUAAUUACAUCAUGUUAUUUUUAUUA